AAUGGCUCAAAGCUUUGUCAGGGGAGGCUCAUACUAGAAAUUAGAAAAAAAAUUCUUUACCGAGAUGGUAGUCAAAGACUGGAACAGACUUCCUAGAAAAGCAAUACUCAGCAUGGACUUCCACAACCUGAGAAGAAAGAACAAUGAUGCAUACAAAAAAAUCUUUAAAAAAUGUAAGCUGUAAACACUGCGCUGUGUUUGCUUGGACCAGGAAAUGAAAACAGAGCCACGAACCAAAGCUAAAUGCUGGGUAUCUGUCAUAUGCUGUCAGCUGCUUCUCCCUACAUAAGCCAGAAAAAAAAAUAUGUGGUCAAAAUGAAACCCACUAUGAAGAAGAUGAAAAGAAAACAAUAUUACAGAAGCCAGACAGAAAACAAGCUGAAGAGAAAGAGGAUUGGACAGACGUAUGCAGAUCUUGCAAGAAGACAUUACUCAGAGAUGCAAAGGAGCUGUUUCCUGAGUUUGUAUGGAAGCACCCAAUUCAAGAUGCCAUUUAGAUGAUAAAGGCAUGACUGCAAAACAAAGG